UUCUCUUCUAUUCUUCUUUCUUCUUCAUUUCUUCUUCGUCCUUCUACUUGAGCGACCCGCAGAGAGAGAAUGAGAUGAGAGACAGAGAGAUUCCGGGAGAAUGAGAGAGAGAUCGAGAUUCUGAGGUGGAAAGAGAGACAGAGACCGUGAGAUAGAGGGAGACCGAGAGAUCGGGGGAGAGAGGAUCCGGAGGAUCCGUGAACUAGAGACCCGACAGAGAGAGCAAGGGGAGCCGAUUUCCGGCAAGCCCGUGACCCGCAACCCGCCAGACCCGAGAGAGAAAACCCGGACGGUUCGAGAACCCGUGACCCGUCUAUGUGAAACCCGAACGACCCACCGAACCAAAGACGAUCCAACGGCCUGUGAUGCGAUUUCCUGCGGAUGGAGGCCGUUCUCCGGUGGUUUCUGUCGGUAGUGGACUGCCCAGAACCCUCACAAACCCGAGACCUGCAACCCAUGACCCGCUGAACCGUGAGGAAGACCCGGUCCUCCAGGAGUGAUUUUCCGGCGAGUUUUCCGGCGGUCCAAUAGCGAUUUCCGGUGGAUUUUCUAGGAAAAUCCUUUAGAUGAUGUUUCUCUGGCUGCAGGUAAUCCGGUCGUAGUAUAUGGUGUUGUAGAAGUAGACUGAAGAUAUUAUGACUGAAGCUCAAUGCGACGGUUGUAAUGUGUUAGACCGCGAGAUGUCUAUUCCUUUAGGUAUUUUGAUUAUGGCUUGUGACGCUUGUGCCACAUGAUCUUUGUUAAGCCAUUUAUGUUAUGUAUUUAAUUCGAGGAAAGAUUUAAUCACAUAGUUAUUUAAUGGCUCUUUGUUGUAAUUAUUUGUGAUAGAUGUAUAAGAUGUGAUUUCCGCUAUUAAGUUGUGUUUUCCGCUGCAUA